rnacentral:tRNA from 1 species
GGAAGGUUGGCCGAGUUAGGUUUAUGGUACUUGUUUGCUAAACAAGCAGGGAUAAAACCCUCAAGAGUUCAAAUCUCUUACCUUCCUCCA